CACGGUGGUUAUGGUGGGAAGAAGCAGCAUUUCCCAGAAAGGCUGAAUGUUGACCCCUGCACCUGCCAUCUCCAGCCUUGCUGGGGACAAGGUUCGGGGAUCCUCUGAGGACUGCUGUGACGGCCACAGGUCAUCUGCGGAUUCCCAGGCGAGGACCUUCGCAAGAAUGAGCACCUAGCGGGCUGCGAGAGGUGCAAAGCCCGGUUGGCAAAGAUACCAGCUGAGCAUCCCAGAGGCCUGGAGCUGCCUGGGAGACGUCGUUGCUGGAAAGGCCAAGGAUGAGAAAAUCAAGUCUGAGACAAGUUCUCCCAGCAACGUGUGAAUGUGUGCGUCACUACCGCCCGCUACUGUGCAGAAGGUAGGUGAGUAACUGGCCCAGCGUCACACAGCCAGGGACAGAUCUGAAACUCCUGUCAACACAAGACAGCAAGCCUAGUCCUCGAACGCACCUCUCCUACUUUUGGAUCCCGGGCUCCUGGGAUGGAAGGCGGGCCAGCUGCAGGGAGCAGGCUUGAGACACGGGGCCAUGGCUGGGCUCCGACCCAGAAGGCCCCUCUCCCCUGCGGUGGGAGUCUCUUCUCGUGGUUCCAUUGCUCAGUUAUGAAUAAAUUGUUUAAACUUGG